UGAAGAGUUUGAUCAUGGCUCAGAUUGAACGCUGGCGGCAGGCCUAACACAUGCAAGUCGGGCGGUAACAGGGGAAGCUUGCUUCCUGCUGACGAGCGGCGGACGGGUGAGUAAUGCAUAGGAAUCUGCCUGAUAGUGGGGGAUAGCCCAGAGAAAUUUGGAUUAAUACCGCAUACGCCCUACGGGGGAAAGCUGGGGACCUUCGGGCCUAGCGCUAUCAGAUGAGCCUAUGUCGGAUUAGCUAGUUGGUGAGGUAACGGCUCACCAAGGCGACGAUCCGUAGCUGGUCUGAGAGGAUGAUCAGCCACACUGGGACUGAGACACGGCCCAGACUCCUACGGGAGGCAGCAGUGGGGAAUAUUGGACAAUGGGCGCAAGCCUGAUCCAGCCAUGCCGCGUGUGUGAAGAAGGCUUUCGGGUUGUAAAGCACUUUCAGCGAGGAGGAAAGGGGAGAUGCUAAUAUCAUCGCCCUGUGACGUUACUCGCAGAAGAAGCACCGGCUAACUCCGUGCCAGCAGCCGCGGUAAUACGUAGGUGGCAAGCGUUAUCCGGAAUUAUUGGGCGUAAAGCGCGCGUAGGCGGUUCGUUAAGUCUGAUGUGAAAGCCCCCGGCUCAACCGGGGAGGGUCAUUGGAAACUGGCGGACUUGAGUGCAGAAGAGGAGAGUGGAAUUCCAUGUGUAGCGGUGAAAUGCG
rnacentral:rRNA from 1 species